GACAGAGGGUGCAAACGUUGUUCGGAAUUACUGGGCGUAAAGCGCGUGUAGGCGGCAGCGUGUGUCGGGCGUGAAAUCCCACGGCUCAACCGUGGAAGUGCACCCGAAACUGCGCAGCUAGAGUCCUGGAGAGGAAGGCGGAAUACUUGGUGUAGAGGUGAAAUUUGUAGAUAUCAAGUGGAACACCGGUGGCGAAGGCGGCCUUCUGGACAGUGACUGACGCUGAGACGCGAAAGCGUGGGGAGCAAACAGG
rnacentral:rRNA from 1 species